GGGAUGAUAGCUCAGUUGGGAGAGCGCGAGAGUGAAGCUUCAGAAGUCAAUUCUUGGGGUCGGGCGUUCGAUCCGCCCUCGUCCCA
rnacentral:tRNA from 1 species